UGGGUUAGACAACAGUGGACCGCCCUAGAGGUAGGGCUUUCCCUUCGGGGACUGCUGGUUCAGGUGCUGCAUGGCUGUCGUCAGCUCGUGUCGUGAGAUGUUGGGUUAAGUCCCGCAACGAGCGCAACCCUUACCUCUAGUUGCCAGCAUUUAGUUGGGCGCUUUAGAGGGACUGCCGGCGUUAAGCCGGAGGAAGGUGGGGAUGACGUCAAGUCCUCAUGGCCCUUAUGCCCAGGGCUACACACGUGCUACAAUGGACGGUACAGAGGGUCGCGAAGCCGCGAGGUGGAGCAAAUCUCAUAAAGCCGUCCUCAGUUCGGGUUGGAGUCUGCAACUCGACUCCAUGAAGG
rnacentral:rRNA from 1 species